CUGUUGGAAUAGCUUGUUUAAGCCGGUAGGUGCGAGACUUUGGCAAAUCCGGGUCUUCUUAACACCGAGAAGUGACGACGAGUGUCUACGGACACGAAGCAACCGAUACCACGCUUCCAGGAAAAGCCACUAAGCUUCAGUUUGAAUCGAACCGUACCGCAAACCGACACAGGUGGGCAGGAUGAGGAUUCUAAGGCGCUUGUGAGAACCUGUCUCUUC
rnacentral:rRNA from 1 species